rnacentral:rRNA from 1 species
UACGUAUGGAGCAAGCGUUAUCCGGAUUUAUUGGGUUUAAAGGGAGCGUAGAUGGAUGUUUAAGUCAGUUGUGAAAGUUUGCGGCUCAACCGUAAAAUUGCAGUUGAUACUGGCGACCUUGAGUGCAACAGAGGUAGGCGGAAUUCGUGGUGUAGCGGUGGAAUGCGUAGAUAUCGGGAGGAACACCAGUGGCGAAGGCGGCCUACUGGGCACCAACUGACGCUGAGGCUCGAAAGUGUGGGUAGCAAACAGG